UGGGGAAUAUUGGACAAUGGGGGCAACCCUGAUCCAGCAAUGCCGCGUGAGUGAAGAAGGCCUUAGGGUUGUAAAACUCUUUCAGCAGGGAAGAUAAUGACGGUACCUGCAGAAGAAGCCCCGGCUAACUCCGUGCCAGCAGCCGCGGUAAUACGGAGGGUGCGAGCGUUAAUCGGAAUUACUGGGCGUAAAGCGCGCGUAGGCGGCUACGUCAGUCGGGUGUGAAAGCCCCGGGCUUAACCUGGGAAUUGCAUUCGAAACUGCGUGGCUAGAGUCUGAUAGAGGGAAGUGGAAUUUCCGGUGUAGCGGUGAAAUGCGUAGAUAUCGGAAGGAACAUCAGUGGCGAAGGCGGCUUCCUGGAUCAAGACUGACGUUCAGGUGCGAAAGCGUGGGGAGCAAACAGGAUUAGAUACCCUGGUAGUCCACGCCGUAAACGAUGAGAACUAGCCGUUGGGGAGAUUUACUCUUUAGUGGCGUAGCUAACGCGAUAAGUUCUCCGCCUGGGGAGUACGGCGGCAACGGUAAAACUCAAAGGAAUUGACGG
rnacentral:rRNA from 1 species